rnacentral:lncRNA from 1 species
GACCAUCAUUCCAGGCCAGGAUCACUGAGGACUGUGAAACCCAGCAUGGAGUCAAUGGGGAUUGGGAUACUCAUGGGAUUCAAAGCAAGGGACUGCCUUUCCCUGGGAAGAUCUGCCCAAGAUCUGCCCAGUGCCGGGUGCCAUGAGGGAUGGAGCAAGCUGACAUCGAAUACCUACUGAUUUUAUCUGUCACCAGAUGAAAGGAGACCUGCCUGUUAAGUGCCUGGAAGAAGAGUGGGCAGGAACACCUGGCUCUGGAUGCAGAAGCAAGUUUGCCAUCCGUGCACUCAGGAGGCUGAGCCUGGGGUAGUGCUGAGGGCUGGAGCUGACAUGGUUGGAAGUGCUGGGAUCUAAACUCUAGUCCUCUGAGAGUAGCAAGUGCUCUUAACCUCUGAGUCAUCUCUCCAACCUGUGACUCUUCCUCUGGACAGUUCAGUAGUCAUAGCAACUCUCCUGACCCCAUGACUCUUCCCUAAGAUGACAAGAUCUGUCUGGAUUUUGGAAUGAGCUUCAACUGUUUUCCACUUUGAUAUCAGUUCUGCUUUUCCAGGUCGUGAGUCAGCAUGGCCUGGAGGUCAUAUAUGACCAGUCAGGGGGCCAUGCUAGUGUGACGCCUGCUGUGACAGCCAGUCUUCUUUCUGUGGAAGUGUCCGUCAAAAUCUCAAGAGUGAAGUCUCCUCUCUGGCUUUACGUUUGACAUCUUGCCGGUCGCUUGAAGUAUGAGUGCAGACAGGAUCUGAAGUAGCAGGGAGGUGCCUCAGUGAGGCCUUUGACCCCUGACCGAUGCUAUCUUUAGGAAGAGAAGCAACUGUGAGGAGGUUCAGCCAGAGAGAAAGGAGAUGGCCAGUCAGUAAGGACCCUAAGGAAGGCAACAGGGAAGGCUGGGAAGAUGGCUCUGAUGGUAACAGGAGCUGUGCUCUCUGCGCAAGCGUGAAGACCACAGUUCAGACCUCUGGUACACAUUGCAUAGGUUCCUUACUUCUAGACACAAGAGGAGCCCCCAUAUCCACCCUCACCCCUUUUGAAACAAAGGUCUUACUCUGUAGAACAGACUGGCUUGUGUCUGUGAUCCUCCUGUCUCAGCCUCCCAAGUGCUGAGAUUAAAAGCAGAAUAAUACUUAACUGAUAUUAGAUCCAGCCUCAUAUCCCAGGGUAGUAGGUGCCCUUCCACAGCCUAGCUCCUGAUUUUUUUUUUUUUUCACUUGUUUGUUUCUUUGAGACGGAGACUCAUGUAGCAUAGGCUGACCUCAAGUCAAUCUGUAGCCAGGGUCAGAUAACCUUGAACCCUUGCCUCCACUAUCCAAAUUCUGGAAUCACAGAUGUGCUGACCAUUGCUCCUUAUUUAUUUAUUUGAGACAGGGUCUCUGUGGUGGUUUGAAUAAGAAAUGGCCCUCAUAGGCACGUGUAUUUGAACGUUUAGUCCCCAAUUUGUGAUGGUUUGUGGGGAGGUACGGAGGUGUGUGGUCUUGCUGGAUGAAGAAAUGUGCCUGGGGUGGCUUUGAGAGCCUAUAGCCUGGCCCCACUUCCAGCUCUCUCUCAGGUUCCCACUUAAGGUACAGUGUUAUCUCUCAGCAUCCUUCUCCCCGAGCCAGGUUUUCCUGCUGCUUGUGGCCGGCCAUGCCUUCCAGCUAUAAUGGGCUCUUAUCCUCCUGGAACUGUGAGACACAAUAAACUCCAUCUUCCC